CACGGGGGGAGCAAGCGUUGUUCGGAAUCACUGGGCGUAAAGGGCGUGUAGGCGGUCAGGUAAGUGGGAUGUGAAAUGCCCCGGCUCACCCGGGGACCGGCAUCCCAAACUGCUUGGCUUGAGUAUGGGAGAGGAUGAGGGAAUUCCUGGUGGUAGCGGUGAAAUGCGUAGAUAUCAGGAGGAACACCUGCGGUGUAGACGGCUUACUGGACCAUAACUGACGCUGAGGCACGAAAGCGUGGGGAGCAAACAGG
rnacentral:rRNA from 1 species